UGUAAAAAUAACAAAAUUUGAUGUUGAAUCUUGAGGGCAAAAUGAUGAAUGAAGUUUCAACAUCAAAUCUCAUUUUGAGAUGAAUAGGAAAAUAAAUUUAUUUGUUAAACUAGGCUGAUUUUUUAUUUAUUUUUAUUUUGUGAAAUGCAAUGUCAAUUUCACAAUGAGCUCCCAAGGCAUAAGUGAGGAUGAGAUGGAAAUCCAUUCUCAUUGUGAGAAUGAUUCAGAAUUUGAACUUGAAAAUGAGGGGGGUGACCAUGGGGAUGAUCCUAGAGCCCAAUCUAGUUCUAUGGCGAGUGCACCAGCUAGUACAGGUUGCCCUUCAGAGUUGUUGGCACCGUAUGCUAGGGGUCCUUUUGAUCCUAUGUCUCCUCUCAAACAGUUUGCUUCAAGUAUAUCAAUACAAGGCACAUCACAUUCAAGUGGAGGAACAAAGAAGUGGAAAUGCAACAUUUGUGACACUGAAUGGUCUGGUAGCAUUAGUAGGGUGAAUGCACACUUUCCUUUUUGGAGAGGAAAAGGUGUGAGACAUUGCAAGUUUUUGGAGGAAGCUAAAAAUAUACAGUACAAAAUUGAGUUUAACAGGCUUUGGGGGGUUCCAGAUGACACAAAUAUUUCAAUGCCUACUACUUUGUCUGCUAGGGCAGCCCUUUAGCACAACCAGAAUCCACCACAUACUUCUCAUGCUUCGUAGACAGGAGGAAUGAUGUUUGGAUUUGCAUCCACUUCCACUUCUAGUGCCGCUAGAGCAGGGAAACGUAGGUUGCAGACACCAUAGAGUAACCCCAUUGCUGAAAUGUUUAAUGUGGAGCUAAGAGAUGAGAUAGAUGAAUCCAUUGGCAAGUUCUUCUUUGCCAAUGGCAUUCUAUUUCAUGUUACACGGUCUCCUUAUUAUAGGGAGAUGAUGGCUAUGGUGGCGAAGGGAGGACCAUCUUAUGUGCCACCAGGGAAGACGAAAAUGAGGACCUCGAUCUUGGAUAAAUGCUAUUCCAAGAUCAAUAUUUUGAUGAAGAAGAUGAAGGCAUGUUGGGUGGCAUCGGGGUGCAACAUAGUUAUGGAUGGGUGGACGAACAUUAGCCAUCAUCCACUCAUCAACAUCAUGGUCACAUGUGCAGAGGGCCCAUACUUCCUUAGAGCAAUUGAUUGUACAGGGCAUCGUAAAGAUGCUGAUUUCCAGUUUCAGGUCCUCAGGGAGGCUAUUGAGGAGGUUGGGCCACAAAAUGUGGUCCAAGUAGUGACAGAUGCAGCCCAUGUGUGUAGAGAAGCAGGGAGACUCAUUGAGGCAGCCUAUAGACACAUUUGGUGGACCCCAUGUUGUGUACAUGCCAUGAACAAUGCACUCAAGGACAUGGGGAAGAUUGACUGGAUUAGAGGAGUGGUCGCCGAUGUGAGAGAUGUGCAGAUGUUUAUCUGAAACCACCACACUUCACAUGCACUCUUAAAGACCUUUGCGAAGGAUUUCUUGAAACCAGUUGAGACCAGAUAUGCAUCCUAUUUCAUUCUCUUGGAGAGAAUGAUUGAGUUGCAAGAGGCAUUGCAACUCAUGGUUAUGACUAAUGAGUGGAAUAGGUGGGUUGAGGCCAAGAUAGAGCAGGGGAGAAGGGUGAAGGAGAUAGUGAAGAGUGAUGUGUUUUGGACUGAUGCGAAAUACAUUGUCUCCAUCAUUUCUCCAGUAUUCCAGGUGAUCAGUUAUGGGGAUGGGGAUGCACCUAACCUUGGAGAGGUGUAUGAGUGCAUUGACUCUAUGCUUGACCAAAUGAGGGUUGCUGUGCGAGUGAAGGACCCCUCUUUAGCAUUCUACAAUGAGCAAAUCCAGCCUAUCAUUCAAUGUAGAUGGGACAAGUUGAACACUCCUUUGCAUAUGGCUGCCUUUGCCUUGAAUCCUAACUGGUACAAGGCUAGACCGGGUAGAGUGAUCGAUUUAGGAUGAUGAGGUGAAGGCGGGUUUCUUUAGGUGCGUAGAGAAGAUGUUUGAUUCCAGAGAUGCCGACACCAUUCGUACUGAGUGGGGAAGAUUUGCCACUCUUAGAGGUUAUUCAGAUGCGGCAAAGAUGGAUAUAGAAACUAUGGCACAUGAGGAUCCACUUUUGUGGUGGAAUUGUCAUAGCUCGAAAUCUUUGACCACCACUCUAGUCAUCCGUCUGCUAUCCCAGGUUUCUAGUUCUUCAGCUGCUGAGAGGAACUGGUCUACAUAUAGCUUCAUCCACUCUCUUAAGAGGAACAAACUUACGUCUAAGAGAGCAAAGAAGCUUGUGGCUUUACAUUGUGCUUUGCAUCUCAUGGACCGCAAGACACUUGUGUAUAAGGAGAGUCCAGCGACACGAUGGGAUGUAGAGCCAGAGGAGCCUUCACAGAUUGAUGAGGAUGAUCCUACCACUUCAGAUGCAGGGCUAGUUGGUGUGAGCUUGAGGGAUCUUGAUCUUUAGGAGUCCAGCAGUUCCAGUGAGGAGGAGUUCUCAGAUGAUUAGAGGCCUCCAUUAGCUACAUUUUGAGUUUUGUCAUUUUGUCUUUGACUCUAGUCUCUUUUGUAAUGCUAUUGCUAUUAGUAUUUGUAUUUGGCUACUCAUUGUAAUGAUGAAUCAUGUAAUCAUCUUUAUUAUUAUAGACUUUGCAAUGGCAUCAUAUAUUCAUAUUUUCCUUUUUCGAUAUAAUUGAAAUCUCCAAUUUGACAAUUUCAUUUGUCAGGUUUUAUUUAGCAAUUAGCAAUUAGCAUUGAAGAAAUCUUGGUAUUUAGAUUUAGUAUUUCAAAUUUCCUAUAGUUUCAUUUGAAAUGUAAUUCUUAUACUGUUAUAUUGUCAUACAUCUUUUCAAAACUAGUUUUUCAAGUACUAUAUGUAUAUGUAUAACUAUAUCAGCACCACCACCCCGCCACCCCCCCCCCCCGCUGUCCCCAAACUUAGGCCCUUGGUCCCCCCGUCCUGGAAACCUGUCCCCUCGUCCACCCCGUCCUGGAAGCCCGUCCCCACGUCCCCCCCGUCCCCAAUGCCCGUGGAACACUGUAUAUUAAUAUUCUUAGAAAAGGCUACCUUUUUUUAAUUGUGGUUCUUGUUUAAAGUUCUGUGGUUUAUGUACAUUUUUAAUGUCCCAUCCGUCUUUGUGGGUGAACCACAUGGUGAGGUACUUGGGCCAAGGAUUCUUGCUUUACACAUCUUGCAAUUGUUUCUUGACCUCGUUUGACCAAAUACAUUUGCAUAUUUAGGCCAAUGUUAGGCAAUGUCGAUUCGUGCCUAAUUGUUUUUGAUGUUCUAAUUUUGCAAUUGAGUGAUUGAAGCAUUCCUUUUAAUUGAUGCUUUUACACUUUUUGUGUGCAGCUGAAUUAAUCUAGAGGUCAUUAUUGCGUUGUUCACAUUGAUUCCUGGGGUAUUUGCAUUUGUGGACUGUAGUGUCAUUUCUUUUACCUUCACUACGUUCUUUUUUUCUGCCUUCCUGUAUUAUGUAUCCUGCUGAUUGGAAUUGGAAGAAUUUCCUUAAUAUGUUGUGUCUCCCACAUGCUUCAUUUGUAUGAUUUGGAUUGAGAGUUGAUUCGGGGCAUAGGGGUUCUUGAUGACAACACAAUAAAAUAAAUUCCAAUCUGUUAUGUGCAUAAAAUAAUUCAGAAGAGAUAAGAGUGCAACAAUAACAAAAUCAUAGUAUUGAACAAAAAAGAACCUCAAAAGACAACAGAACAUGUUAGAACUGUAAUGCAAUAUUUAGUUGUCUAUGCAUUAUGUUUCUUCAUCUAUUUAUUUGAAAAAUAGCAAUGUCCCAUUAAAAUACAAUUGAAGAAGACAAUGGUUUGACUUUGGUGGUCACGAGAAACCCAACUGGCCACAAGUUCAUAUCUGCAGUUUUCAUAAUUUGCAUUUUCUACAGUUUUGCCAAUGAAACUUGAUGCUGUUGGUGCCAUGCAGCAUAGAAUGUGGAGAAUUGGGACUUAAUGAUAUAUGAAUGUAUGCUUAGAAUGCUCUCUUCAAGCUGGCAGUGAAGAUGAAAUAUGGUGUAGAGAUCAUUUUGCAUUUUAGGGUCGAUCUUGGCUGCUUGAAGUUCUUUUGCAACAUUUACAUUCUAAUGAAGGUGGAAAAUAGUGGUGCAAGUAGAGUUGGAAUAUCGAACUCAAAAAUGUUAUCUCCAGCUUGUAAGUCUCUCUUUUGCAAAUGAAGUCCUACUUUGUACCAACUCUGAUUUGGUGUUUCGUUCAAUGCUGUUCAUGGCACUGCUUGUAUGGCUGCUUUGUCAAGGUCGUUAUGAGUUGAAGUAGCUGUUGUUGAUGGUGACAUCAGAUGAGUUACAUUAUUGGUUUGAACUUACUUUUGAAUAUGUUUAAUAAAUGUCUGUUUAGUCAA